rnacentral:tRNA from 1 species
CACGGUGUAGUGGUCACUGCACUCGCCUUGCACGCGGGAGACCCGGGUUCGAUUCCCGGCACGGUCG